rnacentral:rRNA from 1 species
GAUGAACGCUGGCGGCGUGCCUAAUACAUGCAAGUCGAGCGAAUGGAUUAAGAGCUUGCUCUUAUGAAGUUAGCGGCGGACGGGUGAGUAACACGUGGGUAACCUGCCCAUAAGACUGGGAUAACUCCGGGAAACCGGGGCUAAUACCGGAUAACAUUUUGAACCGCAUGGUUCGAAAUUGAGAGGCGGCUUCGGCUGUCACUUAUGGAUGGACCCGCGUCGCAUUAGCUAGUUGGUGAGGUAACGGCUCACCAAGGCAACGAUCCGUAGCCGACCUGAGAGGGUGAUCGGCCACACUGGGACUGAGACACGGCCCAGACUCCUACGGGAGGCAGCAGUAGGGAAUCUUCCGCAAUGGACGAAAGUCUGACGGAGCAACACCGCGUGAGUGAUGAAGGCUUUCGGGUCGUAAAACUCUGUUGUUAGGGAAGAACAAGUGCUAGUUGAAUAAGCUGGCACCUUGACGGUACCUAACCAGAAAGCCACGGCUAACUACGUGCCAGCCGCCGCGGUAA